rnacentral:rRNA from 1 species
AUUGAACGCUGGCGGCAGGCCUAACACAUGCAAGUCGAACGAGUGGCGGACUGGUGAGUAAUGUCUGGGAAACUGCCUGAUGGAGGGGGAUAACUACUGGAAACGGUAGCUAAUACCGCAUACCAUCAGAUCUGCCCAGAUGGGAUUAGCUCGUUGGUGGGGUAAAGGCUUACCAAGGCGACGAUCCCUAGCUGGUCUGAGAGGAUGACCAGCCACACUGGAACUGAGACACGGUCCAGACUCCUACGGGAGGCAGCAGUGGGGAAUAUUGGACAAUGGGCGAAAGCCUGAUGCAGCCAUGCCGCGUGUAGGAAGAAGGUCUUCGGGUUGUAAAGUACUUUAAGCGGGGAGGCGUUACCAACAGAAGAAGCACCGGCUAACUCCGUGCCAGCAGCCGCGGUAAUAC